UUUAAGGCAAACAGAGUACUUUUUAGAGUUCACGGAAACGUUGCUCUGCGAUUACGAGACUGAUAUCGCAUCGAGAAAUGCUGUGGAUCAUAUUUUUGAGAGAUACGGGCGCCGCGAAGGUUGCUAUGUACGGCGGGCGUGAAGGAGGAAUCGCCCAUGUCGAGGUUCGAAAAAUUCAAUUAUCUCACGUGGGUACUACAGGGCACUGAGAGCUUUAAAACAGAGAAUGGACGCAACAUGCCGUGCAGUCCGUGCUUGUUUCCCGCCGUGGCCACAGAUCACGUUACGAUGCUACAGCUGGAAUGUGGAUCGUCAUUGUAGGCUGAGGCGUAAUCUCAAGUUGGCGUGAUGUCGAGGAAACCACACUGUGCAAGACGGGAACUGGAUAAAGGACAGUGUUGGUUACUGUGAGCUCUCUGCACUUGGACUGCUCAAGCCGGAAUAUUUCUUCAGCACAACAAAGAAGCCGUUGUACAAAGGAAGAUGGCUUCAACAGACCACCAUUGUCCCUAAGGAUGAUCAGAAGGCUUGACGUGUCAUCAUCAAGAAGGGUAUCAAGGCACCCAUCACAUUGUCAUCUGCAGACGGCGGCGGACUGCACUCAGGUGAAGAUUCCUCUGCUUUAGUUGCCGUACACUUGACCUGGGAGUUGUUUUGCUCUGUGUCAACUUCUGGGGAUGCACUUGGCUGGCUUGAUUUGUCUCCUCCCAUGUGUGAUGCUUGUGAUGGGGAUUCUUGCCCAGUUUCGUGAGUGUCAACCAAGACAGAGGUCUGUUAAAAGUGCAGUAAGGUGAAGCUUGUUUUGGCUAAUGAUGCCCACAAAGCUUUUUCUUUUUUCUUACUUUCAUGUUAGCACCACGAAGCAACUAUGGCUAUGAGCGGCGUAAUGCCCAUACUGAAGAGGAAACGUGAUCAUGUAUUUACCAGUUUGUGCUUCCUUGGGAGUCUACAGUACGGAUGCUCCGCAUGAAGCGGCAUUGGCAUAUGUACCUGCAUAACAAUUUUUGUCUUAACUUUUGUAAGGCUAAAUUUUUUACAUCAUGUUUGGCCGUGGUUGAAUACUUUCUCUAAACUCUUUCUAGCAUGGAGUCACAAGUGAAAACUGCUCCUUACAGGGGAUGCAGCAGGUGUAAGAGGAUUGGCUGGCCGAUCCAACAUCGUACUGCAUCCUGCUUCAUUGUCCUGUAAAAACAAACACGGAGUCAGCAUAAUCACACACAUGGAGAGACACAAAGAGUAUGGCUGACUGAUGUUCAUGAUUACUGUAAUCGACAAAUAUCAAGCUGAUGAGGGUAUGCUUUCAGUGCAUAAACAUGAAAAGCAGGGAGCACCUAUAUUAAUUACCAAGUAAAACUUUCUCGUUCUACAUUGCAAUAUGACAUUUCAUUGCUUUGA